rnacentral:rRNA from 1 species
UACGGAGGAUGCAAGCGUUAUCCGGAAUGAUUGGGCGUAAAGCGUCCGCAGGUGGUUAUAAAAGUCUGCUGUUAAAGCGUGAAGCUUAACUUCAUAAUGGCAGUGGAAACUAUAUGACUAGAGUACGUUCGGGGUGGAGGGAAUUCCCAGUGUAGCGGUGAAAUGCGUAGAGAUUGGGAAGAACACCGGUGGCGAAAGCGCUCCACUAGGCCUGUACUGACACUGAGGGACGAAAGCUAGGGGAGCGAAUGGG